UGAUCAUUUUCAUUCAAAAUU
rnacentral:piRNA from 1 species